UAGGUCACUCGUGACUUACAAGCUUAAGUAAACAUGUGUUCACAUCAAAACCCAGCAACACAGACGCGAAUAAUCCAAGGUAUCAUUUCAGCCUGUGGGGAAGGUUGUUUGCAGCAGGUCGGGUUUGGCUGUGUCAGGAGGCAGAGCGGAGGGAGCCGGGGGGUGCCGAGCAGGGGCGGCGGGCUCCGACCUUCGCUGCCCGGGUGACUCCGGGGUGACCCGCGGGGCCCGGCGCGCCCCCCACGCGUGUCCGUGGGACGGGAAAUGCGCUCAUCGGGGAGCAACCAGCCUCCAAAGAAAUUACAUUCGCGUUCCUUUCCACUGCCAAUAUCUUAUUUGUAAAGUCCGAUUGCUGUUUUUUCUAAACAUCAUUUUCCGCAUAGUUGUAAACGAGAUAAUAAAAUUGUCGAUUUAAAAAUAUCAAAUGAUUUAUAGAAAUAAAUUCUCUGUCUAGCUGGCAACGAGUAAUAGCUAAAUGUCUCGCUCGGUGCCACUCAAUCCCGCUUCUGCAACCACUGUUUUGGCUAAACUAGGUUGCUGGUUUCAGCCUAUCUCUUUGAGUUUAAUGUCAAGUUAACGUUGGAUCUGAAGAAAGAGGUUCGUAUAAACGUGAACCAAUUUUUUUUUUUUUUUUUUUUCCAAAAUGCUCCUGACUAAAUCGUGAGGCGAAAAUAAAACACACAGAGAGAGGAGGGGAAGUGCUGUUUCCCAAAAUUGAAAGACAGUAAGAAAUUUAUCAUCAAAAAGAAAAAGUCUCCAGAUGAAGACAGUAAAGAUGGGCUGUCCAUCGCCAGCCGGCUCGGUGCACUGAGCAGCUCCGGAGGAACUGGGCGAGCAGAGACCGGUGGCAGGGAAGUGCAGUUUGGCUCCUCAUUGAAAGUGCGUGGGGAGGAGGGGGAGGAGGAACUGAGUUACUUUAUUAUCCUCAUUCCUCCCCACGUCGUCGCAAUUUUAAAAAAGGCAUAUUUUGAAUGGGAAAGGCUGGAAUUUAUUUCUGAGGGUGAUCUACCUGCCGAUUUUUCCAAGCAAACCUUAUUAUUUCUCAUAGGAAUUUUUUUCCUGCUAUCUAUAAAAAAAUAAAUAAAUAAAUAAAUAGAGAAGAAUCA
rnacentral:lncRNA from 1 species